GACGAACGCUGGCGGCGUGCUUAACACAUGCAAGUCGAACGGAAGGGCCCUGCUUUUGUGGGGUGCUCGAGUGGCGAACGGGUGAGUAACACGUGAGUAACCUGCCCUUGACUUUGGGAUAACUUCAGGAAACUGGGGCUAAUACCGGAUAGGAGCUCCUGCUGCAUGGUGGGGGUUGGAAAGUUUCGGCGGUUGGGGAUGGACUCGCGGCUUAUCAGCUUGUUGGUGGGGUAGUGGCGUACCAAGGCUUUGACGGGUAGCCGGCCUGAGAGGGUGACCGGCCACAUUGAGACUGAGAUAGGGCCCAGACGCCUACGGGAGGCAGCAGUGGGGAAAAUUGCACAGUGGGCGGAAGCCGUAUGCAGCAACGCCGCGUGCGGGAUGACGGCCUUCGGGUUGUAAACCGCGUUCGCCUGUGACGAAGCGUGAGUGACGGUAAUGGGUAAAGAAGCACCGGCUAACUACGUG
rnacentral:rRNA from 1 species